rnacentral:ncRNA from 2 species
CCUGUCUCGGAGUGGUCAGGUUCAGGCAGCAUUUGGGCUGCCUUGGGAAGCCGGUGCAAGACCGGCACGGACCCGCCGCCGUAACCGGUGACGACACCAGCACCAUGUCACUGCCGUUCAUCCAAGAACAGUGGGAAGACGCUGGUGAAGACAGACCCGGAAGUCGGAAGACCGACCUGAUCGCCCUUGCUGGC